rnacentral:rRNA from 1 species
CGCGUAGGCGGCAAUGUAAGUCAGCAGUGAAAUUCCACGACUCAAUUGUGAAAGGUCUGUUGAAACUGCAUAGCUAGAGUGGUGAAGAGGUAAGUGGAAUUCCAGGUGUAGCGGUGAAAUGCGUAGAUAUCUGGAAGAACACCAGUGGCGAAGGCGGCUUACUGGUCACCAACUGACGCUGAGGCGCGAAAGCGUGGGGAGCGAACAGGAUUAGAUACCCUGGUAGUCC